rnacentral:lncRNA from 1 species
CUAAUAUUAAAUCAUGUGAAUCAAUAGUAAAUCAUGUGACUCAAUAGUACACACAUGUGAACAUAUAGUUAUAAGCAUGGGAAUUAAUAGCAAUUAAUUUCUAAUUUAUCCGAUUAAUUACCCGAUUUGUCAAUAUAACCUCCAGACAUCAAUUAUUAUCGAAAUAGAUGUCAAUUUCCACUAACACUAAUAAUCCCAACAUAAUGGAACUAUCAAAU